GUUGUGGUUAAAAAGCUCGUAGUUGAACCUUGGGCCUGGCUGGCCGGUCCGCCUCACCGCGUGCACUGGUCCGGCCGGGCCUUUCCCUCUGCGGAACCCCAUGCCCUUCACUGGGUGUGGCGGGGAAACAGGACUUUUACUUUGAAAAAAUUAGAGUGCUCAAGGCAGGCCUAUGCUCGAAUACAUUAGCAUGGAAUAAUAGAAUAGGACGUGUGGUUCUAUUUUGUUGGUUUCUAGGACCGCCGUAAUGAUUAAUAGGGACAGUCGGGGGCAUCAGUAUUCAAUUGUCAGAGGUGAAAUUCUUGGAUUUAUUGAAGACUAACUACUGCGAAAGCAUUUGCCAAGGAUGUUUUCAUUAAUCAGGAACGAAAGUUAGGGGAUCGAAGACGAUCAGAUACCGUCGUAGUCUUAACCAUAAACUAUGCCGACUAGGGAUCGGACGAUGUUACAUUUUUGACGCGUUCGGCACCUUACGAGAAAUCAAAGUGCUUGGGCUCCAGGGGGAGUAUGGUCGCAAGGCUGAAACUUAAAGAAAUUGACGGAAGGGCACCACCAGGGGUGGAGCCUGCGGCUUAAUUUGACUCAACACGGGGAAACUCACCAGGUCCAGACACAAUGAGGAUUGACAGAUUGAGAGCUCUUUCUUGAUUUUGUGGGUGGUGGUGCAUGGCCGUUCUUAGUUGGUGGAGUGAUUUGUCUGCUUAAUUGCGAUAACGAACGAGACCUUAACCUGCUAAAUAGCCCGUAUUGCUUUGGCAGUACGCCGGCCUCUUAGAGGGACUAUCGGCUCAGCGAUGAGUUUGAAGCAUACAGUCUGUGAUGCCCUAGAUGUCUGGGCGCCACGCGCGCUACACUGAC
rnacentral:rRNA from 1 species